rnacentral:tRNA from 2 species
GCGAGAGUGGCGGAACUGGCAGACGCACCAGACUUAGGAUCUGGCGGGCAACCGUGGGGGUUCAACUCCCCCCUCUCGCA